rnacentral:rRNA from 1 species
UGCANGUCGAGCGAGGCCCUUCUUCGGGAGGUGCCCUAGCGGCGAACGGGUGAGUAACACGUGGGCAACCUGCCCUCAGCUCUGGGAUAACUCCAAGAAAUUGGUGCUAAUACCGGAUGUGACCGCUGACCGCAUGGUCUGGUGGUGGAAAGAUUCAUCGGCUGAGGAUGGGCCCGCGGCCUAUCAGCUUGUUGGUGGGGUAAUGGCCCACCAAGGCGACGACGGGUAGCCGGCCUGAGAGGGUGACCGGCCACACUGGGACUGAGACACGGCCCAGACUCCUACGGGAGGCAGCAGUGGGGAAUAUUGCGCAAUGGGCGAAAGCCUGACGCAGCGACGCCGCGUGAGGGAUGACGGCCUUCGGGUUGUAAACCUCUUUCAGUAGGGACGAAGCGAAAGUGACGGUACCUACAGAAGAAGCACCGGCCAACUACGUGCCAGCAGCCGCGGUAAUACGUAGGGUGCAAGCGUUGUCCGGAAUUAUUGGGCGUAAAGAGCUCGUAGGCGGUCUGUCACGUCGGCUGUGAAAACCCGAGGCUCAACCUCGGGCCUGCAGUCGAUACGGGCAAACUAGAGUACUGCAGGGGAGACUGGAAUUCCUGGUGUAGCGGUGAAAUGCGCAGAUAUCAGGAGGAACACCGGUGGCGAAGGCGGGUCUCUGGGCAGUAACUGACGCUGAGGAGCGAAAGCGUGGGGAGCGAACAGGAUUAGAUACCCUGGUAGUCCACGCCGUAAACGUUGGGCGCUAGAUGUGGGGCUCAUUCCACGAGUUCCGUGUCG